CAUGGCAGUGAGAGGCCCGCGUACCACAAAAAAAAAAAAAAAAAAAGAGGAAGAGGAGUGCCAGAGGAUAUGGAGAGAGAGUGGUGAACAAUGGAGAGAGAAACCAGACGAGUGAGUUCCAGCAGACGCCCUGGGAGAAACUUGCCUGGGAAGGUCCAGUCAGAUGAGCACAGGCCAUUUGGGAAUCCCUGCUGACCUCAGCAACUGCCACGUCCAGGACUUCGUGGAUUCAGACCCAGAAUAAGUAGCUCUCAUGUAGUGUAUUUUUUCUCCUCAAGAAGCUGUGACAGAUGAGCAGCUGUAGCAGCCUGUGGCACGAGGGGGAACAGGAAUUGUUGAAGAGCUGUCAGGGAAUUAGCAUGUUUAUUGACUAAGGUCAAUAGGUGGUUUCUUCAUUUGCCCAAAACAGGUUGUAAUUUUGUUUUUUUAAUAAAUUUAUUUAUUUUUGGCUGCAUUGGGUCCUCGUUGCUGCGCGCGGGCUUUUCUCUAGCUGCGGCAUGCGGGCUUCUCAUUGUGGUGGCUUCUCUUGUGGAGCACGGGCUCUGAGACACGUGGGCUACAGUAGCUGUGACACACGGGCUCAGUAGUUGUGGCUCACAGGCUCCAGACGCGCAGGCUCAGUAGUUGUGGC